GACGUGGUGCGCAGGGAGCAGCGCGGCAGAGUUUGCGGGUCCCAGGCGGGCGCGGCGGCUCUGCGGGCCGCGCCCCGCCCCCCGCCCCCCGGCGCCGCGGCCGAAGCCGGCCAGACGGCCGCGCCGGAGCCUGCGCACUGGGCCUCCAGCGCCACCAGCGGUUGCAGACGCGGCUGCUCGGAAGAUGGCGGAGCGUCCCGGCGCCGGCGGCAGCACAUCCCUGAGGGGGAUGCGCGAACGGAUGGUUGCUGCUGCGCAAGCCAUUGCUGAAGAAAGACGGAGUCAGAGUGGUUUCUGCUCUCUUCCAUCUCAGUCUGCAAAUAUAAGAUCAGCUUUUAAACCAGUAAUAGAUGGGUCCGUGCUUAAAAGUGUUGUGAAGCAGAGGUUGGCAAAGGAGCGUAGAGAGGAGAAGACAAGACAGCAAGAAGCUAAUAAGGAAACACAACUGCUUGAAAAAGAAAGAAAGUCCAGGAUCCAGUAUGAAAAACAGAUGGAAGAGAAGCAACGGAAACUGAGAGAACAAAAAGAAAAGGAUGAGCAGCGGAGAAUAUCCGCCGAAGAAAAAAGGAAACAAAAAUUACAGGAAGAAAGGGAGAGAUUUAAAGCUGUUCUCUAUCGGACGUUGGAACGGAGCAACCGCGUUGAUCAUCGUCAAAAAAGAUGGUCAUGGGAAGGCUCUACAUCCACGAACCCAGAAACCAAAACUGCUAAUACACGUUCUGUAUCGACUGAAAAACUUGAACAAGAGACUUCUGGUUUACACAAACAAAUGUCUGUGUCAUCUGCAGGUCUUCAGAAUUCUGUUGCUAAGAAAAAAAUAGAAAAGAAGAGAAGCUCAUCCUUGAAUAGAAGAUCUAACAAACUGCAGACACCUGCAGACAGUGUACAAGUAGAAGAAAAACCAACUGCUCGACACUCGUGUACCAGUCUUCGGGAGAAUGAUUUAAUCACUCGCCUACUUGUCCCUACAAAAGCAUCAAUAGCCAGGAGCAAAAGUGCUGCUUCCUUGUCAGUCCCUGGGAAAGAUACUCCAGGCACCCACAGUACUUUAAUCCAGUAUAUAAACAUGCCCUUGCGUAGCCAUAGCAGUGACGAAUUGAAGAAUACCACAGUGCUUCGCAAGGCAGCAGUGGCAGGGCCUCCCCAGGAGAAGGUGGAAGUGGCCCCCCAUGUGAGUGUGGAAGCGGCCCCCGCGGCGAGCGUGGAAGUGGCCCCCGAGGCGAGAGUGGAAGCGACCCCCGAGGUGAAUGUGGAAGCCACCCCCAAGGUGAGCACAGAAGGGUCCUCUGAGGGGAGCAUGGAAGCAUCAUGUGAAGCAGGUAUGGAAGCACUCCCUGAGAGCAUGGAAAUAUCAUCUGAAGUGAGCGUGGACGUGUCGUCCCCCGAGGCGAGCGCGGACCCGUCGUCUCCCGAGGCGAGCGCGGACCUGUCGUCUCCCGAGGCGAGCGUGGACCCGUCCCCCGAGGUGAGCGCGGACCCAUCCCCUGAGGUGAGCCUGGACUCGUCUCCUGAGGUGAGCAUGGAUGCAUCCCCCGAUGUGAGCAUGCGAGUGUCAUCUGAGGCCAGUGUGGAAGCCAGCGUGGAAGCGGCUCCCAAGGCUAGUGUGGGCCUGUCACCUGAGACCACGGUGGGAGCAUCGCCUGAGGCCAGUGUGAAAGCACUCCCCAAAGAGGGUGUGGAAGCGUCCCCCGAGGCAUUCCCCGAGGUGGGCACGGAAACAUCUUCCCAGGUGAAAGUGAACGACUCUCCACAGAAAUCAGAGCUGGACAAACAGGCCUCAAAGCCCGCUACCAAGAAGCGCCCGGUGUCGCACAUACCCUGUUACAAAUGGCCGUCUUCUUCUGUGAGUGGGCGGCGCCCGCCUUCCCCCGUCACUGUUAACAGGCAAAUGCAAAAGAAUCGUCCCCCAUCACCGUCACCUGUCAUGUCAAAACAGUCACAGUCUCCUCUUUCCUAUAAAAUAAUCCCUGUUCAGCGUAGCCUGUUGGCACAAAAUGCAUUAGGUACUUUUGGAAAGAAAAGAGAAGGAGUGCCUAAAGCUGCUAACAGCUCUGAGGCUGUGAGCCAAAAGCAGCUGGUCUGUGAAGAGUCUUGUAAUAAAAGUACACCAGGGACUAUGAAUGCCAAGGAAGCAACAAAAAUUUUGGCAGAAAAACGACGGCUUGCUCGUGAACGAAGAGAUAAAGAAGAAAGAAUACAAAAGGAAAGGGGGCAAAGCAAAGUGAAGGACGUAGCAGAGAAAGCUGUGGAAGGCCAACAAGAAGAAUUUUUGAAACUGGAAGAAGGGCAACAACAGAAGGAAAUAAAGAAAGGAUGUCCAGAUCCAGAAGACCAGCAAGUGCUACUACAGAAAGGGGCCGCCAAAAUAAAAGCUCAGGAGGAGGCUGACAAACGCAAGAAGGAACAGGAGAGAAUUAUGUUACAGAAUUUGCAGGAGAGAUUAGAGAGAAAAAAGAGAAUUGAGGAAAUUAUGAAGCGGACGAGAAAGACAGAUUCAAAUGCCUCAAAGGCUGCAGAACCGGUUGUUGAUAACACGGACGAGGAGGGCGAGGCGGACGAAAGUGACAGCGGUUCCUUUGAUGACCUGCAUCCAUCAGCCUUUAUAAAUGGCAUGGAUUCAUCCACAAAACUCAAAACACAUUUUAAAAACAUGAAGAAGAACACUCCCAAGCUGGUGUUUUUAGACGCCACUUCUGGCCAAGUCCAUAGAGAGACAAAAACAUUUUUUAAUGGCGACAUGAAAAACUUCAGACAAAAAAGUGCGAAAGACCCUUUGGCUCAGGCAAAGGGUACCAGCUCGUCCAUCUAAAGAAUGACCAGCCGAGCAGCAAAAACCAGAAAGGCAAGUGAAACCUGUAACACCGUGGGACCCUCCAAGAGUUUAUAUCCAGAGGCACAGGAGUGGAUCUGUGACAAAAUUAUUGACAUCAGAAAUGAGGCAGAGUCCCUUAUGUCCAGUAUCCCUCCUGAUAGCCGAAAAUACCAUCUGAAAGGUUCCAUGACAUUCCACCAGAGUCCCCCGUUGCCUUUACACAACAAGAAAAGCAAAUCUGUUCCUGCUCCAUCGGUCAGAUAUGUUCAACUUCGCGCAGCCCAGAAGAGAAUUCAUCUACUUUGGAUCUCAACUUCCAGACCCCCUAAUUUUUCUGCCUCUGACUUGAACCUGACUACCAAAAUGACCAUCAAAAACAGGGAAAACAUCAGACAGACACCUUAAUGUAUAUCUCAGAAGCAUGUUACCAUCUUGACUCUUGCCAACAGCAAGGGCUCUGAGUAAAGAGUCAUUUUUGUUUUCCUGUAAAAACCUCCACUGUCUCGUUCUUGUUUUCCAGCCGGGGUGUGUGAGUGCACCCAGAAGUGGUCACUCUUGAGUUUCUAAGCUGAGGAGGAAUUUUUUUCUCUUAAAAUACUGCUUAUCCUAUUUAACAGUUACAUUACUUAAGCAUUUCAGAACGGACGUUCGAUCUCGUAGAGGCCGUAUGGGGUGUGCGAGGGACUCAGGAUUGCUCACAAGAGCUCUCCUGGCUUGUUUCUCAUAAACAGGAGGUUGCAAGAUACAGUACGUCACAUGUUACCAUUAUGUAUUGUUUGUUUUUAACUCUGCCAUCACCCGAGUGCACAGGCCCUGGCACCCCCAAAUGCUCCAGGUCCUAGGAAGUGUGCUCUUGGGACAGUGUUAGCACCUGCUGUGCUCAUCAGUGUUACUUUUUUGAAGUGCACCUUGGGGGUUUAUUUCCAAAAAUGUGCGGUGUUUUUAUUGUACCUAAAGCGGUGUUUGGCUGCUGUCUGGUGGGGCACAUGUCAUUCCCCUAGUUGUUGGCAGCGUGUCGUCUUUGGGUCCUUGUGCCCACCAGGCCUGUGCUUUGGUGCCCACUCAGCCUUGGGAUGCGGGCCCAGAGCUGCUUGCCUUUCCCUAGCCACUGGCUGCGAGUGAGCACAGAAGCAGUGCCAUUCUUUGGUCCCCGUGAUAGGUGUGCACACACACGCACACACACGUGUACGCACGUAUGCAUGUGCAUACACAUCUGCGCACACACGUUUGCAUGCAUGCGCACACACACAGGAUAGGUUUCCUGAAAUCCGUCAAAUUCUGCUUAUACACACCAUCGACUAAAACUUGAAUGCACAAACUCCUAUUCCUAAUGGGUUUUCUGGUGAAUCACAACGAGUUUCAAGCAGGCUUAUGUUCCUUUCUAGCCACCAGCCUUGGAUUAGUAAAGGAAGGAAUUCUUUCUGAUCCCUUAGUUCUUGGCCAUUCAAAGGACUGUACCAUUGUUGUGGAUUAGAGCUUGGUGCCUUAGAUUUGAAAACUGUUUUUAUACACUAGCUCUUCCGUAUAGAAGGCAGAGACAAUCAUCCUGACAAAUGAGUUUCUGGUAUUCUUCUGCACAAAUGUCACAUGUUGGAACACUGUUACACCCGCAUUUGUAUGUGUGCUCUGUGAAAUAAACUUUGCAGAUAAAGCAA